rnacentral:rRNA from 1 species
GAGUUUGGUCCUGGCUCAGGAUGAACGCUGGCGGCGUGCUUAACACAUGCAAGUCGAACGAAGCGCCUUAUUUGAUUUUCUUCGGAACUGAAGAUUUGGUGACUGAGUGGCGGACGGGUGAGUAACGCGUGGGUAACCUGCCCUGUACAGGGGGAUAACAAUCAGAAAUGACUGCUAAUACCGCAUAAGACCACAGCACCGCAUGGUGCAGGGGUAAAAACUCCGGUGGUACAGGAUGGACCCGCGUCUGAUUAGCUGGUUGGUGAGGUAACGGCUCACCAAGGCGACGAUCAGUAGCCGGCUUGAGAGAGUGAACGGCCACAUUGGGACUGAGACACGGCCCAAACUCCUACGGGAGGCAGCAGUGGGGAAUAUUGCACAAUGGGGGAAACCCUGAUGCAGCAACGCCGCGUGAGUGAAGAGUAUUUCGGUAUGUAAAGCUCUAUCAGCAGGGAAGAAAGUGACGGUACCUGACUAAGAAGCCCCGGCUAACUACGUGCCAGCCGCCGCCGUAAG